rnacentral:lncRNA from 1 species
CACUUAUGAAAAAUGACAUAAGUGGCUAAAAAUGGACGAAAAGUUAAGGCUAUAGCCUUACUUUUUUGCUGUUUUUGGCCCACUUAUGAAAAAUGACAUAAGUGGCUAAAAAUGGACGAAAAGUUAAGGCUAUAGCCUUACUUUUUUGCUGUUUUUGGUCCACUUAUGAAAAAUGACAUAAGUGGCUAAAAAUGGACGAAAAGUUAAGGCUAUAGCCUUA